UAGGGAAUCUUCCGCAAUGGGCGAAAGCCUGACGGAGCAACGCCGCGUGAGUGAUGAAGGUCUUCGGUUCGUAAAACUCUGUUAUUAGGGAAGAACAAAUGUGUAAGUAACUAUGCACGUCUUGACGGUACCUAGUCAGAAAGCCACGGCUAACUACGUGCCAGCAGCCGCGGUAAUACGUAGGUGGCAAGCGUUAUCCGGAAUUAUUGGGCGUAAAGCGCGCGUAGGCGGUUUUUUAAGUCUGAUGUGAAAGCCCACGGCUCAACCGUGGAGGGUCAUUGGAAACUGGAAAACGUGAGUGCAGAAGAGGAAAGUGGAAUUCCAUGUGUAGCGGUGAAAUGCGCAGAGAUAUGGAGGAACACCAGUGGCGAAGGCGACUUUCUGGUCUGUAACUGACGCUGAUGUGCGAAAGCGUGGGGAUCAAACAGG
rnacentral:rRNA from 1 species